GGCUUAGUCCUUAUCAGCUCAGAUUAAGCAGAGCUGGCCUCAAAAAAUUAUAGGGCUCCUCUUCUUGUUGCUUAGUGAUUCUCCAAUAGAGGCAAUUUUGUCCCCCAGGGAACAUUUGGCAAUGUCUAGAGACAUUUUUUACUGUCAUUAUAGGUGUAGGGGUUGGGGUUGUGGGGAGCUUUCAGCAUUUAGCAAGUAGAGGCUAGAAAUGCUGCUAAACAUCCUACAUGGACAGGAGAGCAACAAAGAAUGGUCAGUGCAAAAUGUGAAUAGUGUGGAGGUUGAAAAACUCUGUCUAGGGAUGGGUCUGGCAGGUACAGGCACCAACAAUCAAGUGAGAAAAUUGCUAUUACAUGGUGGCCUUAUUUGAAAGCGGUGCUGAGCAGGAGGAGGUGGGCGAGUCCUGCUCACCUGGAACACAAGAAACUGAACUCAGGUAACCUGAAUCUAAACUGGGAGAGGGCAUUGGGGUUGAAAAUUAACUCUUGAGCUGCUUGGCCAAGCUCAGCAAGUUAUGGAAUGAUACUACUCACCAGAUCAAAGGAGGAGUAAGCAGCUGAUAUCUGCUCCAAAAUUCCUUCUGGCACUUUCUCUCUGGCUCUGGGCCAACCUGUUAUUUUUAUUUUUUUAUUUUUUUUUUCAAUUUUUGGAGGUUUGGGGUUUUCUGAGUUAUUUUUACGUGUCAGGUACUGUGCUAAAUUCUUUACAUGCAUUAUCUAAUUCAGUCAUCCAUAUGACCACAUGAGGUAUCUAUUUUUAUCCUCAUUUUACAAAGAAAUUGAAACUCACAGAAAGUAACUUAGUCACUGACUUAAUAAAAUGAUAGAGUCUAGAUUCAAACCCAAGUCUAAUGGAUUCAAAACUUAGUAUUUUUUUCCUCUACAUGUAGAAAUUUGUACCUUGAAAUAAUCACAGGAAUGUGUGCAGUCUUUUGGAGUUGGCCUAAGAUUAAAAUGGGUUCUACACAGCUUAUAACAACACAACAAUGUCAUUCUGUAGGAAAUCAAGAGUUGCUCCUAGCCAGAAUACCUCCAACUGUAUUGAUGGACUAAGACUUUUCUGACAGUAUUUUGACAAAGAUUAGUUGUUUGCCCAAGUAGUUUAACUUACUUUAACAAAAAAGGAUAAUCCUAGCAUCCAGGAAUUAAAUAUAUCCAUCUUAAACAGCAGCCUUUCCUUUCUAUAUGGUAUUUCUCUGAAUGUGCUGUGAACAUUCAUGUUUCAGUUACCUUUGCAAAUGCUGUUCCCCAGCCUAGAACACCCUUCCUGUGAUUUCCCAAUGAUGGAAUUUAAAACUCUUUUCAAAUUAUUCAUCAUUUAAGUCCCAAUUUUAUGAAGUCUUCUGCAACAUCCCUAGACACUUAGAGUUUUCGUUAGCACUGUGUAUCUGUAUUUUAUAACAUCUAUCCAGGGAUAUUGUAAUGAUUUGUUUAUCUUCCUCACUACAGUGUGAGCUCCUAGAGGGCAGGGAUGGCAGAGAAAAUAUGAUUCAUCUUUGUGCUGCUUAGCCCAAGACCUGGCACUCAUGGCCACUCAUUGAGUGUCUGUUGAAUUGAUCUACACACAACUUUGAAGCCAGCAAUUCACAAGUCAGAGACCACAAUUGUGAAAACAGCUAGCUAUAAUGCAAUUUGGAAAGAGGUGCCAUUAAAAUAGGUUCAAGAUGCUGUGGAAGCAUGUAAAAACAAUCCAACAAUUCUAUUUAGAGAAAGAGCUGCUUCAGAAAGUUACACAACAAAAUGAUACAUGAACUAAACUUUAAGAAUGAGUAACACUUCCCCAGAUGCAGAGAGAAUGAGAAGGAAGGCAUUGCAAAGAUAGAAAAGCUAAAGUGAAGGCAAUA
rnacentral:lncRNA from 1 species